rnacentral:lncRNA from 1 species
CACGUUUGAAAUUUACUCUAAGUUGAGAUGUUAUCACAGAACUCAUGAAGUAAAAUAAAAACUUGAGUAAACUCACCAUAUCGAUUAGCAUUAUUCUUAAAGUAAUCCUAUUACUCCAAACCUAAACGAUUACUACAUGUCCCUUCCUAAUGUUAACAGCCUAUUAACUCUAGUCUCGAUUAGCACUAUUCCUAAAGUAAUCCAAUUACUCCAAACCUCAACGACUAAUACAUGUCCCUUCCUAAUGUUAACAGCCUAUUAACUCUAAUGUUACAAAUUUUACUAAAGUACACACACUACUACACAUUGGAAAUAGAUACAUUCCAAAUUACUUUGAGAUAGUCUUAAUUACAGUCCACAAUCUCAUAUAAAUCAAACCAGUCCAAACAAGUGAGCUAACUACAAUGGAAUACGAAUAAUUGAGUUAUACAUUUAACAAUUAACAAUAAUUCCAAACUCAAACUAACAACAGUCAUUCUUCAUUCAUUGGGCUCAAGAUGAUUUAUACACGUGAAUCAACCUCCGGAUAAAGGGACAAUGAAAAGCGUACCUGGAAUUCAAAUUGAAAUAGAGAAAGGAAUGGUCAGCAGCGGCAAUACAGCAGCAGUCACAACAGCAAUGCAAUAACAACGAUCAAUAGUGAUACCACAGCAAGAGACAACCAACAACUAUUUCAGCUUGAAAGACACCAACAAAUAGACCCAAGAGAUGACUGAACCAACCAAAUAUAGCUCAAAAUGACCCACACAAUUCGAACACAUCCAACUGAACAAUUGAUCUUAGAAGAAACUCCAGCAACUCAAAACUAGGCUAGAAGAUCAAAACCAACUACUGAAACUCGAAAUUAAAAUAGGAAACUGAAUGGAACAAUAUUUUUUUUGAAUCUUUGUAGCUUUUAUAUGUUCUCCUGGAAAGUCUAAUGUUCUUCCUCUCAAAAUCAAUCUCGCUGCUCUUUGAAGCUCUCUCAAAACUGACUCUUGAAGUCUAUCUUUUUGAAACUAACCUCAACUCUUUUUUCUGUCCUCCCUUGCUUAACAGAUUGUUCCCCCUUCUAGUGUCAAAAUGACUCCUAUAUAUCUAAAACCAAGACUCUCUUCCCUCCCCCUUUAAUUAUUAUUACUACCCAUUUAUUAUUAUCCUACUAUUUCUAAUUUCCAAUCAGCAAAAGCAGUCAGACGUGGACCCCACAAUCCACUUUCUUUUUAGUUUAAUCAUUAUGCUCACAACAUAUGCUCUUCUAUGUGUAUUCUUUACACUUUUUAUCAUUAAACUACUAUUCCCAAUUCCAGUUAAGUAAAAGUGGUCAAACACUAUCAUUUUCAGCGCCCCCCACUAAUUAAUUCAAAUUAAAGCACAUUAGGGCCCUACUGGACAUAAUACUCAGUCAAACCAUGUUUUAAUUUUGAACUUCCUAAAUUACCUCCUACUGAUUGCUAUUGUUCUGAUUCCAAACAUCAGCAAGCAGAACCAAACUUAGAACUAUCUACUACUAAAAUUUAAUUACCAGUUGUAACCAAUCUUUAAUACUAAUCUGAACAAAAUCCAAUAACUGAAACUACACAAAUUAGAUCAAAUAGCAGAGUGAUUAAACUAUUAAGGUUGUGAUUGACAUACAUAUAUUACACUAAAUAAAGUGAUUGGAAUCAUGGAAAUAUACUGAAUUCAGAGAUAACACGAUUGGUAAUUGAGAGAAAAGGUUCAAAUGAUAGCACAUAGGGCAAUUUGAAUCACCAGAAACACAAACAAUCACAAUGCUAUGCCAAAACGUAUUGACUGACCAUUUCGAAUAAUCAGGACAAAGCAGAAACAAAAACUAGAGUGAACAUAAUUACACAAUGGCGCGAGUGAUUUCUACUCUAUCCAAUUGACUGUACUAUCUUAUUAACAUAGUGAUGAAAAUAGAACUGGAUUCUUAUGCAAGAACAAAUGAACUACAAAGAACAAGGGAACUAAUAUCACAUAAAUUAAUUCGAAAUAAUAAUCAAUGUUAUCAGAACUACUAAACUACAACCAAGACGGAGUAAACGAUGAGAUUAUUUACACCAUAUGUCGCUUGACAGAAGAAAUGGACCAAAUAAAUAGUCUGAUGAGAAGGAGAAGAGUACUGGACAAAACUGACAAGAAAUAACUCAAACGGAGACACAAUUUAAACAGAAAUGAAAACUUAUGGAGAAGAAAAAGAAGAAGUUAAGAAGGACUCACUAUUCUUGUCUCGGAUUCCACCAAUAUGCCCUUUCGAACUUGAGUUCUAGUUAAUAUUAUACGUCUAUUUCAUGAGAAAUCGGCAUAUAACACUAACUAGGACCCAAUCGACCUUGAAAGCUUGGACACAAUCUCAGACCGUCGAACCCUAAAUCCGUCAUUCGACGGGUUUUACACACAUUCGAGCCAAUAUGGUUAGGGAUUAAGGACGAGGGGGUAAAAGGGAGUAAUUGGUAUAAAUUUGGGGUGGUUUGGCAUAGAUUUGGUUUUGGCUCGAAUCUUCAACUGAAGAUUCGAGAAGAUGCAGCUGGAUUCGAGCCAAGGGAAUAGGGGAUUUGGAUUCAGGGUGGGAAGGGGGUUAUAUGGUGAUAAGUUUGUGGCUGGUGGACCUCAGGCCACCAGGUUUCAGGCGGAAGUGCAGGGUGGCGGCUAGGGUUUGGGUAAGGGGAUCGUCUCUGAUAGAGACGAUGAUGAACAGGGAAGAGAGGUGGGUGUUUGGAUUGGGGGGCUGGGUGUUGGCUUUAGGUUAUAUAGUAUGGGGGAAAGGAUCUAAGC